GACGAACGCUGGCGGCGUGCCUAAUACAUGCAAGUAGAACGCUGAAGGAGGAGCUUGCUUCUCCGGAUGAGUUGCGAACGGGUGAGUAACGCGUAGGUAACCUGCCUGGUAGCGGGGGAUAACUAUUGGAAACGAUAGCUAAUACCGCAUAACAGUAGAUGUUGCAUGACAUUUGCUUAAAAGGUGCAAUUGCAUCACUACCAGAUGGACCUGCGUUGUAUUAGCUAGUUGGUGAGGUAACGGCUCACCAAGGCGACGAUACAUAGCCGACCUGAGAGGGUGAUCGGCCACACUGGGACUGAGACACGGCCCAGACUCCUACGGGAGGCAGCAGUAGGGAAUCUUCGGCAAUGGACGGAAGUCUGACCGAGCAACGCCGCGGGAGUGAAGAAGGUUGUCGGAUCGUAAAGCUCUGUUGUAAGAGAAGAACGAGUGUGAGAGUGGAAAGUUCACACUGUGACGGUAGCUGACCAGAAAGGGACGGCUAACUACGUG
rnacentral:rRNA from 1 species